rnacentral:rRNA from 1 species
GAGGGUUUGAUCCUGGCUCAGAUUGAACGCUGGCGGCAGGCCUAACACAUGCAAGUCGAGCGGAUGAAGGGAGCUUGCUCCUGGAUUCAGCGGCGGACGGGUGAGUAAUGCCUAGGAAUCUGCCUGGUAGUGGGGGAUAACGUCCGGAAACGGGCGCUAAUACCGCAUACGUCCUGAGGGAGAAAGUGGGGGAUCUUCGGACCUCACGCUAUCAGAUGAGCCUAGGUCGGAUUAGCUAGUUGGUGGGGUAAAGGCCUACCAAGGCGACGAUCCGUAACUGGUCUGAGAGGAUGAUCAGUCACACUGGAACUGAGACACGGUCCAGACUCCUACGGGAGGCAGCAGUGGGGAAUAUUGGACAAUGGGCGAAAGCCUGAUCCAGCCAUGCCGCGUGUGUGAAGAAGGUCUUCGGAUUGUAAAGCACUUUAAGUUGGGAGGAAGGGCAGUAAGUUAAUACCUUGCUGUUUUGACGUUACCAACAGAAUAAGCACCGGCUAACUUCGUGCCAGCAGCCGCGGUAAUACGAAGGGUGCAAGCGUUAAUCGGAAUUACUGGGCGUAAAGCGCGCGUAGGUGGUUCAGCAAGUUGGAUGUGAAAUCCCCGGGCUCAACCUGGGAACUGCAUCCAAAACUACUGAGCUAGAGUACGGUAGAGGGUGGUGGAAUUUCCUGUGUAGCGGUGAAAUGCGUAGAUAUAGGAAGGAACACCAGUGGCGAAGGCGACCACCUGGACUGAUACUGACACUGAGGUGCGAAAGCGUGGGGAGCAAACAGGAUUAGAUACCCUGGUAGUCCACGCCGUAAACGAUGUCGACUAGCCGUUGGGAUCCUUGAGAUCUUAGUGGCGCAGCUAACGCGAUAAGUCGACCGCCUGGGGAGUACAGCCGCAAGGUAAAACUCAAAGGAAUUGACGGC